AGAACGAACGCUGGCGGCAUGCCUAACACAUGCAAGUCGAACGAGACCUUCGGGUCUAGUGGCGCACGGGUGCGUAACGCGUGGGAAUCUGCCCUUCGGUUCGGAAUAACAGUUAGAAAUGACUGCUAAUACCGGAUAAUGACGUAAGUCCAAAGAUUUAUCGCCGAAGGAUGAGCCCGCGUAAGAUUAGCUUGUUGGUGAGGUAAAGGCUCACCAAGGCUACGAUCUUUAGCUGGUCUGAGAGGAUGAUCAGCCACACUGGGACUGAGACACGGCCCAGACUCCUACGGGAGGCAGCAGUGGGAAUAUGGACAAUGGGCGAAAGCCUGAUCCAGCAAUGCCGCGUGAGUGAUGAAGGCCUUAGGGUGUAAAGCUCUUUUACCCGGGAUGAUAAUGACAGUACCGGGAGAAUAAGCUCCGGCUAACUCCGUGCCAGCAGCCGC
rnacentral:rRNA from 1 species